rnacentral:lncRNA from 12 species
AAGUUAAAUAUAAACCAUAGUAAACUCGGCAGCUGACUUGGGAUAAAGGCUUAUUUCCAGAGUACUGAUUAACUUAGGUUUCACACAGGGCUCUACAGAGGGAUGUUGUCCAGAGAGAACCUUUGGACCGUGACAAAGCCUUAACAGGGCAGCCAGAGCUUCCACAGGAAGACCUCUGUUCCUUUUCUUUUUUUUUAAGAUUUUAUUUUUUACUUAUUUAUGAAAGGCACAGAGAGAGAGGCAGAGACACAGGCAGAGGGAGAAGCAGGCUCCCUGCGGGGAACCCAAUGAGGGACUCAAUCCCGGGACCCCAGGAUCACGACCUGAGCCGAAGGCAGAUGCUCAACCAAUGAGCCACCCAGGGUGCCCCCCAGAAGACCCUUUUCUACUGAGCUGCCCAAGGACCACUGUUUGUGAAACAUCAGGAUGGAAACAGAUGAGAAUUUUUCUUUUUCCAUGCUUAAAACCUGGUUCUAUCUAAAGAACCAUACAAACAUACACUCACAAAUGUCCAAAAUGUCACUGGGAACAUCAUGCGAGGGAAGGACAUGCAGCAGGUGAGACAGAGGGUGGAAGAAAAUGCUUCAUUCAGGCUGGGCGGAGCAGGGAAGACCCCACGGAAGAAUAGGGGGCAUUUCGGUGGACCUCUCAGUGCAGGGGGUGGCAGGCAGGGAGCAGAGGCACCCCAGCUGGGGGGGGGUGGCCAAGAAGGACACUCAGAGGACAGAGAACCCACCUUGCCUGGAUCAACACGAGGGGUGAUGGGACAGAAACGAGAACGGAGCCCGGGGACUGAGCAGAGAGCCCUGAACACAGGGGCUGGAAGCCGGAAUUCACUCUGCAGGGAAAGAGGGAACCAACCAGUCUAGAGCUUUUUUUACUUUUUUUUUUUUUUUGAAGCAGGGCCGUUGCAUGAUUAGAGUUCAUUUCUACAUGGUUAGGAUGGAUUAUAGCCAUGAGCAACUGGAGAUGCAGAGGAUUAAGAAGCCUAAACCCGCAUGUGGCCAAGGGAUGGGAGGAUGGUUGAACAGGACUCUAAGGGACUGUGCGGGCGGCUCCCUCAACACAUGGCCUUACCUGCAGCUCCAACAUUUGAGUCAAAUACAUCUCUCCUCCCUUAGAGAUGUGUCUCCCUCCAGCGCAAAAGAAGGUACCAAAAGUAAGACAAUUGCUAACCAGAGCUACUCAACGUGCCUACCAGUCCUCACCGCUCCUUCAUUAAGAAAAUCUGCUGCCAAAAAGUUAUGCAUUGAUAUUUACAUUUAUCAUAGUAUUCUAAGAUUUCUAUUUGAUAGAUACACACAUUUGUGCGUAUAUAUAUAA